GAUGAACGCUGGCGGCGUGCCUAAUACAUGCAAGUCGAGCGAACAGACGAGGAGCUUGCUCCUCUGACGUUAGCGGCGGACGGGUGAGUAACACGUGGAUAACCUACCUAUAAGACUGGGAUAACUUCGGGAAACCGGAGCUAAUACCGGAUAAUAUAUUGAACCGCAUGGUUCAAUAGUGAAAGACGGUUUUGCUGUCACUUAUAGAUGGAUCCGCGCCGCAUUAGCUAGUUGGUAAGGUAACGGCUUACCAAGGCAACGAUGCGUAGCCGACCUGAGAGGGUGAUCGGCCACACUGGAACUGAGACACGGUCCAGACUCCUAAGGGAGGCAGCAGUAGGGAAUCUUCCGCAAUGGGCGAAAGCCUGACGGAGCAACGCCGCGUGAGUGAUGAAGGUCUUCGGAUCGUAAAACUCUGUUAUUAGGGAAGAACAAAUGUGUAAGUAACUAUGCACGUCUUGAAGGUACCUAAUCAGAAAGCCACGGCUAACUACGUG
rnacentral:rRNA from 1 species